rnacentral:rRNA from 1 species
CCUACGGGUGGCUGCAGUCGAGGAUCUUCGUCAAUGGGGGAAACCCUGAACGAGCGAUGCCGCGUGAGCGAUGAAGGCCUUCGGGUUGUAAAGCUCAAAAGUGAAGAGAAAGGGAAACUUGAUCGAUUCACAGUAAGCUCGGGCUAAGUUCGUGCCAGCAGCCGCGGUAAGACGAACCGAGCGAACGUUGUUCGGAAUCACUGGGCUUAAAGGGCGCGUAGGCGGGUGCUCAAGUCUGUGGUGAAAUCCUCCAGCUCAACUGGAGAACUGCCAUG